rnacentral:tRNA from 1 species
GUCUCCGUCGUCUAGCGGUCAGGACGCCGGACUUUCAAUCCGGAAAUGGGGGUUCGAUUCCCCUCGGAGACACCA